CAGGUAUUAUUUCCGUUCCUAUGGUAGAACUUUCCGGAGCAAUAGAAAUUAACUGCAACCCAGUAACGAACCUUCUCGAGUUUGUCUAUUCUAGCGUUGAAAACAUCCUGCUCUAUUAUUAACAGUUUUUGGUGAAUUCUGUAGGGAUGCAGCCAUUUUGAAAUAACCCGGAAAGCAUUGGAAACACUUUUCACUGGUUUUAGAUUUUCUUGGGAAGAAAGCCGUCUUUUAAAUCAUAGUUCUGAAGUAGAUUAUCUUCAGUGAUAAUUGGGUUACUUUGAGAGAAAAUAUGCAUCUUUUGAAAAUUUUACACUGAGGAUAAGUCAAAUUUCUUAAUGGCAAAGAUGGUCCCAAUCAAAGACUGCAUAGGAUUGUUCUUCAUAAGAUUCACUCAAUAUUGUAUUCGAAUCCUUCAACAGUUUGACAAUGGCUACAACACCUUGGAUUCAUUCACUUCACUUGACCUGCAGAGAAUGGCUGAUCUAUCAUUUCAUGGAAGUGUUAAUUAUGAUACUGGUAGCAGUCUGGGAAAAUUCAAGAACAAAACAUAUCAAAAAGGAGGAAUGUCCAGAACAGUUCUUGGAAUAUUAAGUGUGCUGCUUUGCCCACUGCUUCCUGUUGGAGAUUGAAGCACCCAUGCACUUUGAAGCACAUUUGUGUUUCAGAAACACAUUCUGGUGUCCUAAAUACGCAAUAAUUUCAGAUAUUUCCUAUAAGGAAGUCACAGUACCUAUCUAAUAAGAAAAUAUCCUGUUCCCCAUUGAUGCAUACACUGGUCGGAUGACUUUGGAUGUGGUGUCUACUGAGUCUGCACAUAUUUGGAAGGAUUAUUCCUCUGGUGCACACUGGAAAUGGCUUCUGGGGCAUUGUGCUCUAACUUCUUUUUUUCUUUCCUCGUACCAGGAAUUGAACCCUGGUCCUUGAGCUUGCUGGAUAGGUGGUGAAACCGCUGAGCUAAAUCUCUGGCCCAUGCUAACUUCUACAAAUGGGCUUGGUAGUUAUUUUCCAAACAUGGAUGUGAAAAAAAAGGGGAGGUCCACUAGGGAAGACGAAGAUAGAUGAUGUGCAAGUCUCCGUGUGCAGGACAGUGUCAACCUCAUCAGGUUUCUUGCCCUGCUUAAUGCCCUCUCUCGGGUGUCUGGAUUCCAUGGCCACUGAGCCUCACUUGUACCCUGCAGGUGGGUACCAGUCCGCCGGGAAGCCACGUGAGGACACGCUGUUGAACAGGAGGCCUGGCCUGCACAGGUUUUCCUCCUGUACCCGGGCAUGUGGCCUCCACCCCCCCACCCCACCCCCCGCUUUCCCUAUGAGGUUGCCCCUUGCAGCUUCAGAAACGCCCUCCGGUUGCGCAUUUGACUGGGUCCCCAGGGAAGCUCUAAAGGACCUGUGCUCCCCCCAUUCACUUCUUGUUAUAUUGGGGAGGGUGGUGAACACCUCACUGGGCGCUAGGACAAUAGGGCACACUGGAAGGUGUCCACCGGGAUGCAUCCGCUCACUUUUGUUGUCAGGGAGCUGACCCGUGUGUACCUUGUACAGGGCAGCGUGUGCGAUUCAGUUGAGGUACUUCUGGGGUGUGAGGGCACCACAUCCCACCUUGCCCGGGGUCAUGCCCAGGUGAUGGAAGGUGCUCUUCCUCGUGGGUCGGAGGAGGAAGAUGAGGUGCCUGGGGCCUUCUCUGUUUGUUCAGGGCAGCUGCUGAGCCUCCUGCCUGUGCCUUAUGCGUGGAGCCAGUUUCUAGGUGACAGAUGAGUCUCGCACGUUGCAGACAACGUGAACAGCGUGUCAUGGUGAGCUCUCGGCCAUCAUCCCUUCUCUGGCCAGACACGUCUCAGUUGCAGUCCAUCAAGGCAGCGGCUUGGUGACACCGCACGGGCGCCUUCCUUGUCCCCUCUGCGUCGCGGGGAAGCGCAUUGUCACCUGUAGUAUUCCCACAGUUCCUCCCUUUGAGAAAUGUUGUGCCCUUCACGGGAUCAACGCAUCCCUGGAGCCGGGCCCGCCGCCUCCCUCUGCGCACAGCUACGGUGAAACUCUGUGCUUAGGUCUGGCCACUCACAGAAGUUCUCUGAGUCCUAGUCCCGCUGGGCUCGGCACAGGAAGCAGUUUCCUCUUGCAGCGGGGGAGAGGAAUGGGGGCCUGGAAUGUUGCUGCUUUCCGAGAAGCACAUAGGCGUUUCCUUGGUGGUUGUGACCCACCUCGAGGACUGGCCAACCAGUUCUUGACCGCAGUGGGGACAUCUGUAAGCGGACUGGUGCCAACCUGCGUGUUUUCUUGGAAAUCGGGUCUUCUCUACUUGGCCAGGGCAUUGUUGUCCUGGGGAAAGGUUAUUCAGAUUUUCCCCUUCCUUCCUUGUGCGAUGUGGGGAUUGUCCUCCAGAAGUCACCUCUAAGGGACAGAGGGAAGAGGGGCUCCUCUUCUGUGGAGCGCCAGGGAUCGGAAAGGCCCGCUGGAAUGUUGUGGGGUUCUCUUCCAGGAAUUGGCUCACUUGGGGUUUGUCGCUGUGGCACUGGUGAGGAAACCAGUGCCCAGUCAGCCUGCCCAGGAAUUCCACUGUUUUCCGGUGGAGAAGUCGUGCAGUGUUCCGAUGUUGAAGAUUUUCCCCUUCCUUCUUUUUGUAAUGCAACUGCAAGGUCUUGAAUUUGAUCCCCGAUAAAAAAAAAAUAUACAGUCACCAUUUUUGUGAACAGGGAAAUCUUGAUCUAUCUGUUCAGAUUCUUGCACUGUUUCUCUGUCUUGUCUGCGUAGUUGUAACCCUUUCCCAUUAAGUCCUUUUUGUACCCUGGAUUCUUCUACGAUUUUGUGCCAAUUUUAUAAGUGUAAAUGAUAUUGAAAGAAUGUGCGUCUUGAACAAAUUCUUCUCUAAUUUCAGCACAGUAAUUUGCCUAUUCUUUUCUGUUGGAGUUUGUCCCUGGAAUGCCCUUUGGUGCCCAUUUCUACUUCAGAUAUCCCUUCUCAUAUAGUACUUGCCUUUUAUCUUGGGACACCUGUAAUGUAUUGAGUAAUGGUUAUGGUCAUCACAUUCAGUUGUCCUAUACUAUGUUGCAUGUAAAACUCCAUGCAGUGCAAUUAAUUGCAUUGUUCUUUGAAUGCUAUGGAUCAAAUAAAUUGGAUUUGUUUUUUGCUCAAAGAGCCCUGAGUUAUGCAUUCCAGAGAGUCUUGUAGAGAUCCUACUAUGAGGCUUCUCAGAAGUGUACAUGCACCUAUGAACAUUUCAGUUGAGGAAAUGUGUCUUUUUGUGUGGACCAAGUCAAGAGCUUUAUGUCCAUGAGGCUCUCUUGUUGUUACUAUUGAUGCUGAUCCCCUGAACAUCUUAUACAGCCCAAGUACAUCUCAUUUUCAUAUGCCUCUUACCACACUUGUAGAAUAAUACUCUGAUUUCUCUAAAUCCUUGCUAAUGUCCCCAUGUUAUCUUUGAAUUCCUUAUUAAUAUGUGACUCCUACAUGUGUUUUUGUAUUUAAUUUUUGUCAAUGUAUAGAUUUACUGAGAACAGAGACCUUUUUUGUAGUCUUUUAAAAUUAUAUCUUGAAAUGUACCUGAUAUUCUCUCUCUCUAUAUAUAUUUUUUCUGUAUAUGCUGAAUGAUAAGAUGCAUAAAUUAAUGAAUUAUAUCAAGAGGGAUUCUUAGGGGGUGUGGCAUUUGACCAUAGAAAGUACACAGUUGGGUGUACAGGAAUCUCAAGUAGAAUAACCAUUCACCCACUGUAUGUUGAAAAAUAUAUAUAGAAAUCUAUAUUGAUAGAUAUUUAGCAUUAUUUACAAAUGAGGUAAAGAUAGCCUCUGUAUAUCAGUCCCUAGGAUUUUUUUUACUUUUUUAAUACCAGGAUGAUCCAUAUAAUUUGAAAUGACUGUCAGCAUCAAACUCAAAUUUGUAUGCUUCCACUUCUUUUAAUCGUUGCCUCAUUUACCAGAUUUUAGUUAAUUAUAUCUUACCUGAUUUAUAUACCUUGUAAAACUUUGCUCAUUGUCUUAGCCAUAGAUAAGAUAAACCCCAGGGCUCUAAAUAGCCACAGCUAAUGUUAUGUCUUAAAGUUCUCUGAUCUAGAGACUGUACCUUGCAACUAAAAGACAUUAUCUGGACAUGUAAACCUCCUCUCUUACCCCCUUUUCUUCCAGGCAUAUCCUUGCUCACUUCACCUUCUGGAAGAUGGCCCCUUCAUGUGCAUAGCCUCUGGGGACAGUUUUAUGCUGUGAGAGACUUCCUCCACAUGCAAACCUGUCAAU